rnacentral:rRNA from 1 species
GAUGAACGCUAGCGGCAGGCUUAACACAUGCAAGUCGAGCGCAGGAAACCGUCUGAACCCUUCGGGGGGACGACGGCGGAAUGAGCGGCGGACGGGUGAGUAACACGUAAAGAACCUGCCCACGGGUCUGGGAUAACCACGAGAAAUCGGGGCUAAUACCGGACGGGUCAUCGGACCGCAUGGUCCGAGGAUGAAAGGCGCUCCGGCGUCGCCCGUGGAUGGCUUUGCGGUGCAUUAGCUAGUUGGUGGGGUAACGGCCCACCAAGGCGACGAUGCAUAGCCGACCUGAGAGGGUGAUCGGCCACACUGGGACUGAGACACGGCCCAGACUCCUACGGGAGGCAGCAGUAGGGAAUCUUCCACAAUGGACGAAAGUCUGAUGGAGCAACGCCGCGUGAACGAUGAAGGCCCUCGGGUCGUAAAGUUCUGUUGUAAGGGAAGAACAGGUAUGAGAGGUAAUGCUCAUGCUAUGACGGUACCUUGCGAGAAAGCCACGGCUAACUACGUGCCAGCCGCCGCCGUAACAC